UACGUAGGGGGCAAGCGUUGUCCGGAUUUAUUGGGCGUAAAGAGCGUGUAGGCGGCCAGACAGGUCUGCUGUGAAAACUCGAGGCUCAACCUCGAGACGCCGGUGGAAACCGUCUGGCUAGAGUCCGGAAGAGGAGAGUGGAAUUCCUGGUGUAGCGGUGAAAUGCGCAGAUAUCAGGAGGAACACCAAUGGCGAAGGCAGCUCGCUGGGACGUGACUGACGCUGAGACGCGAAAGCGUGGGGAGCAAACAGG
rnacentral:rRNA from 1 species